GGUGGCUCAGUGGUAGGGCACUUGCCUUGCAUGCAUGAGGCCCUGGGUUCAAUUCCUCAGCACCA
rfam:Dipodomys ordii contig_69853, whole genome shotgun sequence.